AUUGAACGCUGGCGGCAGGCCUAACACAUGCAAGUCGAACGAGUGGCGGACGGGUGAGUAAUGUGUGGGAAACUGCCUGAAGGAGGGGGGUAACUACUGGAAACGGUAGCUAAUACCGCAUACCAUCGGAUGUGCGCCGAUGGGAGUAGCUAGGAGGUGGGUUGAAGGCUCACCAAGGCGACGAUCCCUAGCUGGUCUGAGAGGAGGACCAGCCACCCGGGAACUGAGCCACGGUCCAGACUCCUACGGGAGGCAGCAGUGGGGAAUAUGGCACAAUGGGCGCAAGCCUGAUGCAGCCAUGCCGCGUGUAUGAAGAAGGCCUUCGGGUUGUAAAGUACGGUCAGCGGGGAGGCGUUACCCGCAGAAGAAGCACCGGCUAACUCCGUGCCAGCAGCCGCGGUAAUAC
rnacentral:rRNA from 1 species